UACAGAGGGGGCAAGCGUUGUUCGGAAUUACUGGGCGUAAAGGGCGCGUAGGCGGCCUUCUAAGUCGAACGUGAAAUCCCCGGGCUCAACCCGGGAACUGCGUCCGAUACUGGAAGGCUUGAAUCCGGGAGAGGGAUGUGGAAUUCCGAGUGUAGAGGUGAAAUUCGUAGAUAUUCGGAGGAACACCAGUGGCGAAGGCGGCUCACUGGUCCGGUACUGACGCUGAGGUGCGAAAGCGUGGGGAGCAAACAGG
rnacentral:rRNA from 1 species